rnacentral:rRNA from 1 species
UAGGGAAUCUUCCACAAUGGGCGAAAGCCUGAUGGAGCAACGCCGCGUGUGUGAUGAAGGGUUUCGGCUCGUAAAACACUGUUGUAAGAGAAGAAUGACAUUGAGAGUAACUGUUCAAUGUGUGACGGUAUCUUACCAGAAAGGAACGGCUAAAUGCGAGCUAG